UACGGAGGGAGCGAGCGUUGUCCGAAGUUACUGGGCGUAAAGCGCGCGUAGGCGGGAAAUAAGGGAGGAGGGGAAGGCUGGGGCUCAACCCCAUGCAGUGCUCCUCAUACUGGUUUUCUUGAGGGUGGUAGAGAGAAGUGGAAUGGCUGGUGUAGCGGUGAAAUGCGUAGAUAUCAGUCGGAACACCAGUGGCGAAGGCGGCUUCUUGGGCCAUUACUGACGCUGAGGCGCGAAAGCCAGGGGAGCGAACGGG
rnacentral:rRNA from 1 species